rnacentral:rRNA from 1 species
CCUACGGGAGGCAGCAGUGAGGAAUAUUGGUCAAUGGGCGCAAGCCUGAACCAGCCACGUCGCGUGAGGGAAGACGGUCCUAUGGAUUGUAAACCUCUUUUGUCGGGGAGCAAAAGGCGCCACGGGUGGCGGUCCGAGAGUACCCGAAGAAAAAGCAUCGGCUAACUCCGUGCCAGCAGCCGCGGUAAUACGGAGGAUGCGAGCGUGAUCCGGGUUUAUUGGGUUUAAAGGGUGAGCAGGCGGAAGAUAAAGACAGCGGUAAAAGGGCGUGGCUCAACCGCGUCGGGACGUUGAAACUGGUUUUCUUGAGUGAGCGAGAGGUAUGCGGAAUGCGUGGUGUAGCGGUGAAAGGCUUAGAUAUCACGCAGAACUCCGAUUGCGAAGGCAGCAUACCGGCGCCCAACUGACGCUCAUGCACGAAAGUGUGGGUAUCGAACAGGAUUAGAUACCCGUGUAGUC